GACGAACGCUGGCGGCGUGCCUAACACAUGCAAGUCGAACGUGAUUGAAGAGCUUGCUCUUCAUGAAAGUGGCGCACGGGUGAGUAACGCGUAGAUAAUCUACCUGGUGAUUUGGGAUAACAGUUCGAAAGGACUGCUAAUACCGAAUAAGCCCACGGAGUCUUUGGAUUCUGCGGGAAAAGGGGGGGACCUUAUGGCCUUCCGUCAUCAGAUGAGUCUGCGUACCAUUAGCUAGUUGGUAGGGUAAAGGCCUACCAAGGCGACGAUGGUUAGCUGGUCUGAGAGGAUGAUCAGCCACACUGGAACUGAGACACGGUCCAGACUCCUACGGGAGGCAGCAGUGGGGAAUUUUGCGCAAUGGGGGAAACCCUGACGCAGCAACGCCGCGUGAGUGAUGAAGGCCCAUGGGUCGUAAAGCUCUGACAGAGGGAAAGAAGUGUAUGGUGGUUAAUACCCAUUGUACUUGACGGUACCCUCAAAGGAAGCACCGGCUAACUCCGUGCCAGCCGCCGCAGUAAUAC
rnacentral:rRNA from 1 species